rnacentral:lncRNA from 1 species
AGAUCUGGAGAAUUCAACUGAAAAUAGAAAAUCCGUUCUUUUUACCUGAGCCUGUAUCUGUGUAUUUAGGAAUAAACACAGUUUUUGUUUCGUAUUUUUACAACAGCUGUUUGGGUAACCUAAAGCACACAGACCGCGAUGCUGGUAUUUACGAGGCCUGCACUCCAAGGCUGUGAGUGCAACUGGAGCUAAAGGAGCCUUGCUGUUCUGCUGGGGCUUUAUGAAAACUUCAGGAGCAUUUGACAAGUUUUACUCUAUUCAGUGGGAGGAAAAAAGGAAAUGUACUUGUAGUUUUUAAGCUUUACAGAAUGAUUAGGUUUUAAUUUAGCAAAACUAUCCUAGACAAACAUAGUGUAUUUCUUUCUUAUAGUCAAAAUAAGAAGCGCCUAUGGUAGAAAGAGUACUGUGCAAAACUUGCUCUAGUGGAUGUGAGAGCUUUUGAGUCUGACAGUUUAAGUAGCGAAGACGAAAGUGAGGACAGUUCUUGGGCAGGGGACUUGAAGAGGAAUGUGAUUCAUGGGGCAUAGUGACUGGCGUAAUUACCAGUGCAGCUGCUGUAGUAAUUUCUGCCAGUGCUAAAAAAGCCUGUCAUGGCCUGUACUCUGCUGGUCAGAGUGUAAGUGAUAACGAUGGCAGCAGCAGUGCCAACUCCAGGCUGCUGUAUGCGAUUGGAGCAGUUUCUGCUAGGUUUCAAAUUGAUAUAAAACCUUCACAGGAUUUCCUGAAGUGUUCAGGCUGAGGAAAAACUUUGGAAUUGGGAGUGGCAAGGUUUUGUUAUGUGUUUUCUGUGAGGAAUAGUAAGAGUAGUGAUACAGAGGGAUUUAAAUAAUCUGAUAAUGAGUAAAACCUGUCAAAUUCAGGCAAGGAAAACCAAGGACUUGAGCACCUUCAAUUUUAACAUUAUCAGCACAAAAGGUUUGUAAGAAAUCCAUUUGCUUCAGUAUUCUAUUAAAUAAGGUUUUAAACUUUUUGUUCUGAUAGAGCUUUCUGUCAUUCUGUAUUUUUUUAAUCACGUUCUGUAAUCUGAAACAUCUGACUUGUGGUUCAGUGUUUGUUUCCAUUUAAGCCAAGUGACACAUUUCAGAGUUGAUCCAGCAUGGAAUUUGGAGGAAGGAGCUCUUGAAGCACUGGGACAGAAGAGUGGGAAGAAACGUUCUGCUGGACCCAGGCUUCUUUCUCAUGUAAAUGGCUUGACCUAGCGAGGAAAAGCUUUUGCUGAAGAGUGAGGGGAAUUUUGAAAUACUAACCACAAAAUGUUAUUUUCUGUCACUAAUGUGCAUCAUCAAAACUCACUUCUCUAGCACUCAACAAACGUAAUUUGCAUUUAAAAUUGAAGUGGAUUGCCAAAAGUCUUACAUCAGUCUCACAUCAAAGACAGCAGAAUUUCCUAGAAUUCAGGGACUCUGAUACUUACUGUCAGAGCAAUCUGUUUAACUGCCUAGCCCCAACAUCUGCAUUAGCAGCUCAUUGCAUUUCACCUGUGCAGUAGAAAUAAUAAUUUUGUCCUAUUUGAGAGAAGGCUUAGCUUCCUUCCUAGAUGUUCUAAGUGUAAACUGUAAAUACAUAUGCAGUGUUCCUAAUUUCUUUCAGUCUUCCUUAUCCUCUUCAAAGAGUUUCCAGAUCUUGCUCUUUUUCAACCUUUUAUUUACCUUUGAUUUCAUUUCUGCCAUUUCCAUCUCCUGUUCUUAAUAACGUGCCUCCCUCAGAUUGUUGCUGAAGAAUGCCAAACAGUGUUUGUGGCUCGAUUCAAGAAAGAGAUUAAGGAGGAGAUCACAAUUUCCUGCAUCCAAAGGUAUCAGAAGAUUGUUAGCUAAUUUAUGAAAACAUUCUGUAAUCAUUGCUCAUUGUUGUCCCUGUUGACUGAUGGUACGAGUUCCACAGGCUUAAAUUCGGGCACAAGAGGAGUCCUAAAAUAACACUGCAGAGUUUCUCCUUGUGCAGCAAGCGACUCUGCUCAUCCCAAGCACCUGGUGACUGCAACCUGAGUGACAGUAAGUAGUGUAGUUCUGUGGCUUAUGUUUCCAGCAUGUAUAUAUGUGUACGCUGAGGCUCAGCCCUAAUAAAGUCACCUUUUUUGAAAGUUGUAUUGCAUAUUGUCUUUGUCAUAGGUGGCUAUUAGUUUAUGGAAUGACAGUCACAUGACAUUUUUGAAAAUGCCAUUAAAUAUUAAGAUUCUCAGUUUGCUUGAAGGUUGUGGUUGCUUUUUGGUUUUAAUAACAAAAACCUCAAGCCUGAAAAUGGUAGUUCAGUCCUUUUCCCAUGGCAUCUUUGAGCUUUUUUCUAGUAUGGUAAGCAGGGUGAGAACUGAUUACGUUGUAAAAAUUAAAAUAAUCUCAGUUUAAAGCCUAUCAAGUAAAAAUAGUUCUAGUUUUAAAAUGAGAAAUACUAUUUUACAUGUUAUAGAAGAAAGUGUUCACCUCAGAGCUGACUUUUUUUUUCCCCUCUCCUCAGCAAUUAGGUAUUCACAGUCUCCAAAGGGAGGUUAGCAAAGACAGUAGUUUGAUUGGAAGGGGCCUACAAAGGUAAUCACAUCCACUUGCGUUGCCACCUUGGGGACGACCAAAAGUUAGAGCAGGUUCUGAGUGUCAUUUAGUGUUUCAAUUGGGGUUUUUUGUUUGGGUAUUUUUUGGCUAGUGUGUAGAGUAGUGUGAUGUGUGCCCACUGCUUUUUUUGCCCAGUUAAACAAAAAAUUCAACAGUUAAACUCCAGGGUAAAUCACAGGUGAUAAUGGGAUACGAAACUCUUGUUUUACCCAGCUCCCUGAGACAGGGUUCUGCAAUUCUUUUAGUGGUUCAAAAUGUCAUUGAGGGAGAGAGAAAUCUGACCAAUGGAUUGAUAACUGAGUAAUACCUGUGAGAUGUACAAAGCAGGAGGAAGAACUGAGUCUGUUUUAAAGAUGAGUAAAUUGAGAUGAGAGCAGGAAGGGUUUUGCUUAUGCUUUUCUUGAAUCUACACCUGUCAGUCUGCAAUGUACAGUAAUGUCCAAAGCCAAGAAAAAAAAAUAAAAGAAGUUUACGCCCCAGUAUGAGAGCCAAGAAGCAGAAGUUUCCUUGGUCAUCUUGCUUCUGCCACAGUGUUCUUUCUGUCUGGCAUUUGUGGUGGAAGUGGCAGCAAUAUUAAGUAAGUUGCAGGUAAUUCUCCACCAUCCAGACUCAAAUCCUCAUCAGUGUGUUAAUGCAAAACUAUCUGAUUGGCAUGAGGAAACUGCAUGGCUUUGGACUGGAAACGCAACUGGAGAAGAUGCUGGGGCUGCUCAGAGAGACAACAUGAACAAGUGUAAUUGUAUCAGAUGCCUCCAGGAGUCUGCAGGCCGAGUGGCUGAAAUCUGUCCUUCCCAUGCACACAACUCUGCUGGGGCAGCAUCGUUUGUUGUGGGUCAGAUCUUCAGGUAGCAGCUGUACAAAGUGCCUCAGCAUGCUGUGUGCCCUCUGAGUGAAGUGCAAAGCACAGAUCUUUACAUGGAAUGGAUGGUGGGACAUGAGCUGGGAGAACGUUCAGAGCCUUGGAGUGUUGUUGCUGCUCAUGUGCUGCAUUUCUCUCUUUGAAAGUUCCCACAAAAAGCUUGCAACAUACGGUGUAUAUUUAAGAGCCCCCCGAGGAGGGGAAUAAAAUACGUUUUUCUCUUUUCUCCAUACUUCAUGAAUGGCUCCCUUCUUGAAAACCACAGAUGAUGGAGCCUUGUUUUUCUUACAUCAUUUCUGCUCUUUUUGCAGUCGUCUCAAAAACGUUCUGUUUCUGCCAUUGUUCCUUAACUAUUUGCUUUCCUAUCUCAGAUGGCCUUAUGAAUGGAAACCCAUAGGAAAUGAAUAUUUGUGUUUAUUAAUGCUUCAACUUCUGCUAGCUAAGAGCUCUGGGAAGUACAGCAGUAUGGGCAAAACCAGUAAGAGUUGUGUUUUGGAAUGCUGUGUGUGUGAGUGCUGUGGCUGCUGUCUGCUCCAAGGCAGCAUUAGGAGUCAAGUAGGUGUUCAGAGCUGACAGUUAAUUUGAGUGAAAAUAGAUGCAAGAAGUGCCUGUUGGCAGCUGUGGGAUGUCUUAACUGGAAAGUAUAGCAAGUGUGGAUGUUUGUAAAGGAAGGUGGGUCCUCACCUGGGCAGAAUCAGGUUCUGAAAUACAGGAAGGCUGAAUUAGCAUGUGCAGCUAUGUGGAACUGCAUUCCAAUGCGUGGCCUCACUCACAGUGACCAAGCAAACCGAGCUCCUGUGUAUGCUGGGCUUGUUUUACUGUGCCUGAACCUAAUGCACUCCGAAGUUCAGGAUAAAUGAUUAUACAAAGGGGAAGAGAAAUGACUGGAGUGUUUGUAUUCUAUUUGUGCUCAGUAGCAUGUCUGUGAGCUUUAAAAAACAAAGCAAAAUGAAGUUUCAGACGAUGCAUUUCUGCCUUACUGAAGGUAAGGUCUGGUGUGUGGGGAAGUCAGUGCAGGGAAAGGACUCGUUAUUGUGAUAGAAAUUAAUCACUUUUAAUGCUGUGAGUUGGGUGGGGAAAAAGAAAGGGGUUCUAGUAUGAUAUUUACUACCUUGGGUGAAUACUUGAAGAGGAUUUUUAUUCAUCUACAAUGAAGGCAGUGGCUCAGCAACUAAUAGCUUUCACAAAUGCCAAC